UACGAGGGGGGCAAGCGUUGUUCGGAAUUAUUGGGCGUAAAGCGCUCGUAGGCGGUUCGGUAAGUCGGGUGUGAAACCUCUGGGCUCAACCCAGAGACGCCACCCGAUACUGCCGUGACUUGAGUUCGGUAGGGGAGCGGGGAAUUCCUGGUGUAGCGGUGAAAUGCGCAGAUAUCAGGAGGAACACCGGUGGCGAAGGCGCCGCUCUGGGCCGAUACUGACGCUGAGGAGCGAAAGCGUGGGUAGCAAACGGG
rnacentral:rRNA from 1 species